UUCCAUUUCAUUCAUUUAAACAUUUUGGGUCCCAAUUUCUCCCGAAUGGAGAGAGUAAGUCUGUCCAAGUUGAAAAAAAAAAAAAGUACAAGUCCUCUUCACAAUAUGUACAGGCACAUAUACACAAUCGUUAGCAAACUAUACACAAUACAAAUACAAAAGAGUACAUCUUUAGACUGGGUUUAAGUUCUCUUUUAACCCCAACUUCAUUAGAAAAUUACCAUAUAUUAUUUUUUUUUACCCUUGUAUAAAAGUUGUGUAAAACUCGGUGCCGGGCAAGGGCUCCAUAUACACCAACAAUUCUCUAAACAAUGGUCUGAAUUGUAUAUCUGCAAAGAUACAAAGCCAUAUUCCACACAACUGGCAAAACAGGAAAUCGCAAGACUGUACAAAUAGAAGGUUUCGCUGCAUUCUCUUAGAGAAAAGUGUCCAUAACAGGAGAUUCGCCAAAAAACUUCACCAUCAUGUACGAAGCGCUACAAUUACUUACAAACUCUCAUGCAUACACACACACUUUCUUCUGAGAAGUGUUUUUAUGAGUCGGACACUGAUAAUGCAGCCCAUCGAGUGAACCUCUCAUAAAGCACCCCAAUCAGAAAAUCCAAUCAAAUCUCAAGCAUGCAUCAGCCUAUAAUAAUCAAAAAACACACCAAGAGGCCAAACACAUUCAACAACUGACUAAUAAACAUAUACAGGAUGAGCAAACUAAUACGUUUUCCAUUUUUAAAACACAACUCUGUGCAUACAUUAGUAUGAUGAAGCGUAAUAGUUUAAAAUCUCACAAAUAAAUGCAGGAACAGGGAAGCCUUCAAAAAUGCCUUUGAGAUGUCCAGAUAGCAUUGAAUUAAUUAUUUUCAGUUCUAUACAUAAAAGGGAUCGUGUUAAAGCACAUGGCGUCAGCUACAAAAAAAAUUUACAUUAUGGGUGAGCCAAAAUGUAACCACAAAGUGCUUCAGGCAAACACAAAUCAUGACCAUUUUAAGAAGCUUAAAAGAAUAGAUGCACAAAAAAAAAAAAAAAAUCGCCCCAGGAAAUGAGCCGGUAGGGCAAACUACAAAUGACUGAGCUACACAUUGUUUUACAUUGAAUCCAUUGAGAUUGACGGCUAUAAUCCUGAGAUGCACUGCAGUCCAGAGACUAAAAGCCUUGUAUGAUCUUCACAGAGUUCAUCUUUUCCUGUAUUUGGCAAGUAAUGUCAAGCACGUUUACUUAAAUUGUAGACGUUAUAAAAAGUAACAAAGAAGGCACAUUGGCAGUCAUGUAUAAAUAAGCAGUAUUUACAAUAUAAUAAGUUAGUUUCUAUUCAGUGUCUGAUGUACACAACUCUCAAUCCGACUGCUGCUUUUCUAAUCAUUGGGACCAAGUGAAUAAAGAUGCUUUUCUUCAUUUGCCAACCGAAAUCCAAUGUCCCAUGUUGUGCAAAGUAUAAUUAUAUUUUUUUUCUCUGUUGAUUUAGGAGCGAAAUGUAGCCCAGACCCAUAUUGCAUAGGGAUCUAUCAGAAAUCUUGGGAGUGAAGGCGUAUUAAAGGGAUACACCACCCCAAAAUGAAAAUUGUGUCAUUAAUCACUU
ensembl:lncRNA